rnacentral:rRNA from 1 species
UACCGUCGGCGAUUUAGUAAGUUUUCUGUCCAAGCCUGGGGCUUAACUCCAGAAAGGCAGAGAAAACUACUAGAAUUGAGUCUGUUCGAGGAAUCUGGAAUUCUCAGUGGAGGGGUGAAAUCCGUAGAUAUUGAGAGGAACGCCAAGUGCGAAGGCAGGAUUCUAGGACACGACUGACGCUCAUGGACGAAAGCUAGGGGAGCAAAAGGGAUUAGAGACCCCUGUAGUCCUAGCCGUAAAUAUUGAAUGCUAGUUGCCCCACCUUCGGUGGGGUGACGUAAGUUAACGCGUUAAGCAUUCCGCCUGGGGAGUACGACCGCAAGGUUAAA